GAUGAACGCUGGCAACGUGGAUAAGGCAUGCAAGUCGAAUGCUACCCUUCGGGGAAAGCAUGGCAAACGGGCUAGUAACACGUGGGAAUCUGCCCCAAAGUUAGGGAUAACCCGGAGAAAUCCGGGAUAAUACCUGAUGCACUCUUCGGAGUAAAGAUUUAUCGCUUUGGGAGGGGCCCGCGUACUAUCAGCUAGUUGGUGAGGUAAUGGCUCACCAAGGCUAUGACGGUUAGGGGAUGUGAGAGCAUGAUCCCCAGCAUUGGAACUGAGACACUGUCCAAACACCUACGGGUGGCAG
rnacentral:rRNA from 1 species